rnacentral:rRNA from 1 species
UACGUAGGGACCAAGCGUUGUCCGGAAUCAUUGGGCGUAAAGAGCGUGUAGGCGGCUUGUUAAGUCUUGUGUGAAAUCUCGGGGCUCAACCCCGAGCGGUCGAGAGAAACUGGCAGGCUAGAGUGCGGGAGAGGAGAGUGGAAUUCCUGGUGUAGCGGUGAAAUGCGCAGAUAUCAGGAAGAACACCCGUGGCGAAGGCGGCUCUCUGGAACGCAACUGACGCUGAGGUGCGAAAGCGUGGGGAGCAAACAGG